GACGAACGCUGGCGGCGUGCUUAACACAUGCAAGUCGAACGGAAAGGCCCUGCUUUUGUGGGGUGCUCGAGUGGCGAACGGGUGAGUAACACGUGAGUAACCUGCCCUUGACUUUGGGAUAACUUCAGGAAACUGGGGCUAAUACCGGAUAGGAGCUCCGGCUGCAUGGUGGGGGUUGGAAAGUUUCGGCGGUUGGGGAUGGACUCGCGGCUUAUCAGCUUGUUGGUGGGGUAGUGGCUUACCAAGGCUUUGACGGGUAGCCGGCCUGAGAGGGUGACCGGCCACAUUGGGACUGAGAUACGGCCCAGACUCCUACGGGAGGCAGAAGUGGGGAAUAUUGCACAAUGGGCGGAAGCCUGAUGCAGCAACGCCGCGUGCGGGAUGACGGCCUUCGGGUUGUAAACCGCUUUCGCCUGUGACGAAGCGUGAGUGACGGUAAUGGGUAAAGAAGCACCGGCUAACUACGUG
rnacentral:rRNA from 1 species